GUUGCGGUUAAAAAGCUCGUAGUUGGAUUUCUGUCGAGAACGCGCGGUCCACGCUUUGCGUGAGUAUCCGUGCCGGUCUUGGCAUCCUCCGGAGGAUCGUUUCUGCGCUUGAUUGCGUGGAGCGGAACUUCGGACUUUUACUUUGAGGAAAUUAGAGUGUUCACGGCAGGCAAACGCCUUGAAUACAUUAGCAUGGAAUAAUAACAUAGGACCUUAGCCCUAUUUUGUUGGUUUCUAGAGCUGAGGUAAUGAUUAAUAGGGAUAAUUGGGGGCAUUCGUAUUAACACGUCAGAGGUGGAAUUCUUGGAUUGUGUUACGACGAACUACUGCGAAAGCAUUUGCCAAGGAUGUUUUCAUUGAUCAAGAACGAAAGUUAGGGGAUCGAAGACGCUUAGAUACCGUCGUAGUCUUAACCAUAAACUAUGCCGACUAGAGAUUGGAGGUCGUUUUUUUUAUG
rnacentral:rRNA from 1 species